CUCGUCACAGGAUCCUCUUUUCUCGUCGUCUCUUCGCUCGUGUUUGAAGUCACCGCAUAAACCCUAGCUUUGUGGAUUCGAUUCGUUAUCAUGGAUCAACAGCCAGAACCAGUUACUUACGUCUGCGGAGAUUGUGGACAAGAGAAUACUUUGAAGUCUGGGGAUGUGAUCCAGUGCAGAGAGUGUGGCUACCGUAUUCUCUACAAGAAGCGUACCCGUAGAGUUGUUCAAUACGAAGCUCGCUGAGAACCACAACCCCUAAAGAUGAUUCCAAGCCUGCUAAGAUGGCAUUAAGACGUUUCCUGCAUCUGAUUGUAAUAUAUCUGGACUAGACUGUUUCUGUUUCUGUUGUUGGCUACGUGGCUUUGAUUUGAUUGCCAAUGACUUGUGUAAUCUCUUUUAACUAUUUGGUAAAUGGAGAAAUCCUAUAAUAACGGAUUCACUUUGGUAGAGUCCA